rnacentral:lncRNA from 1 species
UUAUAAAAGGACAUUUAUAUUCAUUAAUACUAAAGAUUCUAUAAUAAGUAUAGAAAUUAUAAGGCAUAAAUACUAUAAUCUAAUUAUUACAAAAAUCUGGCAUGAGAGACUUUGUCAUUUAGAUUAAAUGUAAUUCCAAAGUUACAUAAAGAUGUAUACUUGGGAUUAAUUGAUUUUGACAAGUAAGAAUUAUGCAUGUCUGGCACAAUAACCAAAUCUUCUUUUGCUUGAAAAGAAGAAAGGUCAGCAUAAUUACUGGUCUAAUGCAUAGCGAUGCAUAUGGAUUCAUGUCAAUCAAUGUCAGGUAAUGUUUCUCUUAUUUCAUCAAUGAUCAAGUAUACUUGAUGAAAACUCAAACAUGAAACUCUUGAAAAGUUCAAGGGAUUCACACUAGAAUUAGAGAAACAAAGAGGUAAAGAUACCUUCACAUUAAGAUUUGAUCAAGUGAGAGUAUCUUAAAGAUAAAAUUUAGAUUAUUUAAGAGCGAAUGAGAUUCUCGUGCAGUGGACUCCUUCAUAUGCAUUGCAGCAAGGUGGUGUAUCUAGAAGGAGGAAUCGUUAAUUAUUUCAUGUAAUGCGAUUAAUAACAAGCCAUGCAAAUUUCUCAAAAUUGUUUUGAGGUCACGCAUUGAUUGCAGUGUGCAACACACUAAACCAUGUCCCAUCUAAAUUGGUUAACAGAACUCCAUACGAGUUAUGGAAAGACAAUAGUCCCAAUUUAUCUUAUAUGAAA